CCUUUGCGUUGCUCUCUUUUCCGCCAAUCGUUGUAGUUGUUGUUUUGUUAGCAAUCCUCAAUGUCCCUUUAUCGGGCUUUCUGGCUUUUCUCGGCGUCGCGUGUUUUAUAAAUAAAUACUUAACUAAUUAUAUCACAUUUGAAACGACAACUACAAAAAAAUAUGUAAAAAAAAUGACUAAAACAGACCACAAUGAAGAAUUAAAUGCACAACAACGCGACGUCAACAACAAAUGGAAGAGGCGAAAGAAGAAAUAGCCACGCCGAACGAAAAGAAGAAGAGCACCGCGCAGAAAGACACAGAGAGAGGGAUAGAAAGAGAAGUCGCAAGAGAAAUGCGAAAAAACCGCGAAUACAAUUUACAAAUAGCGAAUUACAGAAAAUAAGUCUAAAAAUAUAAAUAAAAUCGCUUGCUAGCUCCACCAAGCGACGCUUUUUAACUGACGCUACGUCAACGACCAAAGCCCCACGAAGGCAGCGACGUCGACAGAGCGGCGACGACGCCCCCAUCAACGUAUGCUGUUCUUUUGUGCUUUAUUUUAUUAACCGCAAGUUUGCGGGAGACAAAAGAGAGAGGGAGAGAUCUUUCGGCGGGAUAGUACACAGAUACAGAAGAGAGCGCAAAAAGAGAGCUUUGCGAAGAAUUUGAACAGUCAUGUCAUGAGGCACAUGUUCUAGUUCGCACAGUGAAACUCAUUUUAGCGAGGGGUGGUCAAAUGCGGUUUCGUCCAGGUAAUCGAAUGCACAGCGACCCCACAGCAACUACAUACAUGACAAAAAUCCAUAUUU
ensembl:ncRNA asRNA:CR45466 antisense RNA:CR45466